UUUUUCUGUGAGCACAGUAGUGACCAAGGCUGUGUGUCAACAAAUGACUCUGUCCUGAGUCUUCUGAUCCCUUUAGAUGGAGUAAAAGGUCUUUCUCCGUGGCCUACUGGAAAGUGAGCCUUUGUCGCCCAUCUUCCAGAAUGGUAACUGGGUAAUAGGAGUGAAGAAGACAUGGCCAGUAGACUGGGUAACCCACGUACUUGUCCAUUUCUUCAUGUCAUAUCUGCAUAUUUGCAUGAGCUUGGUGACAUGUAUACAGUAGAAAUGUGUGCCCAGUCUUUCCUUAAUACCAUUUUACCUUUGUAACACUUGGACCUUACAAGACUUACAGGACUAAAGGGUAGCUAGCUUUUGCUCAUUCUGACUGAACCACUUUGCAUCCUGAUGAGAGAAAUCUUCCAAAGAAGGCAAAUUCCCAAGUGCUUAUUAAGGAAUACCCAUGCAAGACUGGCAUCACAGACACUCCACUGUAGAAGGGUGGGCUCGGACUAUCCAUCCAAACUAAGAAGUUCUCAGUUUCUCUUCUUUCAAAACAAAGUAUACCAGUUCCAAAGGGUGAACUAGCCAAGGGACACAAGCAGUUCCAGCAAAAAAGGAGGGCCAGUGGUUUUUUUGCACAAGCUCAGGGCCUCAGAAUUUAUAGGGAUGGGGCUUCAGGUUAGCCCUGCUGCCACUGCUGGUAGGUACAGCAAACUAGUUCCUGGGAUGUUAUAUCUGAGGCCAGCAUGCUCCCACUGAUGAACCACUGACUCCUUCCACUCUGUUACCUGUGACCUCUUUAAACAUGUCAUCUGAGUUUGUCUUGACCAAUGGCACCUUUACUGAAGAGCCAGCAAGAUGAGGGUAGAACCAAGGAACCAACCUUCCUGUGAGGAGUGUGCAGUGAGUUCUCCAGACCACACAGUGUUUGAGCAACCCAACCACUGGCAGUGUUCUGGUCUUCAUUUUCCACUGUAGCUUCACUGACGGGGCCAACUGGUUAUCUGAAGCCAAGUAUGGAGGAGCACGUGUGCAAACCCAGCGAGUUCGGAACUGGAGGCAAGAGGGUCAGUUCAAGGUCAUCCUUUGCCAUACAGAGAGCUCAGGAUUAACCUGUGGUACAUGAGACCCUACCUCAAAAAACAAAGACUUCAUAAAGAGCCAGGUCUAUGUGUCUGUAGACCCAACACUCAGCAAGUUAGGGCCAGAAUAUGCCUUAAGUUCAGGAGUUCAAGACCAGCCCAGGCAGCACAGUGAGCCUCUGUUUAAAAAAGAAAAGGAAAGAAGCCACUGAACCGCUUGUUCUCCCAAACCUGGCCCUUCAACUCCCUUCUCCCUCCUCUACGCUCCCACGGACAAAUAAAAACAAAGGAACGAUGACUGGUACUUCUAAGAUGGCAUGCUAGAAACCCUCUAGGGGAAAGGCGCCAUUAACUCUCUUGUGGAAUAAAGGACACCUGGAAUUCUUCAGCUGGGGUGAUGGAGUUCAGCACUUGUCUAACCUCAGUGUGUGGUCUCUGUAGAACAUGAUCACCUACUCUCAUGGUUUCUGUAAGCACUGGAUAAAAAUGGAAGGUAGAAUGGUAUGGGCGGGCUUUGGUUUCUGUGUGUGUAACAGCUGCACAGGAGCUGUGAUUUUUCCAGUCUGGGUCACCAAUGUCUGCCCCUGCCCCUUUCUUACAAUACAUGACCGCUGCGUGAUACUUCAGAGUACUUUGGUUGUGAGUCUGUGCAUCUUCUGGGUUGCAACAGGAAGACGUUUCGUGCUGUGGGCUGCAGUAGAAGGGUAUGGAGCUGCUGCUCGAGAGAGUUGGUAUCAUCUGACCAGCUCUCCAGAGCUUGCUGUGGGGAUGCUGGCCAGCUUAUCUGCUGGCACUGGGGUCCUAUUCCAGGAGUCUCACAAGCCCUGAACUGAUGCCUGUGGUCCCUGCCACCCUUGGGAGCCUUAGGCCUCACACAUUCAUGCUGGGGUGUUGGUGCAAUGUUCACCGGUCAGACUCUACAGGCCGUUCAGGUGAGGCCGAGGCCUGCUCACUUGUGUCAGUCACUGUUCGCUUGAGCCUGACAUGGCUCACACCUGUGAAUCUCAGGCUGCAGAACUUUGCCUUCUGGACACCUUUAAGUCUACAACUCUUAGAAAAAGAAGCUCUGGGGUCUGUUUUAUGCAUCAAUUUUCUUAGAUUAUUUUCUUUCCCUGCUCAAAGCUGACACUCCUGAUGUCUAUAUAUAUAGCUGCUAAGGAAUGUGGGCACACAGGCCAGUUGAUCCUAACACACCACUUUACAGUGGUAAUCCUGGGCUUGCUCUGCCUCUGCACCUGACUUUGAGACCUACAGAGUGAGGCUUUGUCAGACAAUGGGGAAAACACCUGGUGGAGAGAAAAAAAAGCACUUGUCCUGCUUCUGCAUAACUUUCUGUUUUUGUUUUUUUGUUUUUGUUUUUGUUUUUUGAGACAGGGUUUCUCUGUAGAGCCCUGGCUGUCCUGGAACUCACUUUGUAGACCAGGCUGGCCUUGAACUCAGAAAUCUGCCUGCCUCUGCCUCUAGGAUUAAAGGUGUGCGCCACCACGCCUGGCUUCUGCAUAACUUUCUAACCAAGCUUGGGCUGCUGUCUCAGCCUCUCGGGAACUUAAUACUGACACCUUCACAAGGGGUGUGUGUGUGUGUGUGUGUGUGUGUGUGUGUGUGUGUCUGUGUCAGGACCUGUGUUCCUGGCGGUGGAGGGCAUCAUCUGCCUGUCUUCAUGACCUGCAGAGACUAUUAAAACUCUGGUCUUAGCUGAUUCUUGUUCUUAUUACAAAAACUAAUGCUUGCUCCAUGGUGAAAACAUGAAAUGUGGACAAGUCCACAGAAAUACACCCCAUCUGCAACGGUAACAGCCCCAUGGGGGGUGUCCUGUGCAAAGUGCUUCUCCUUAAGGCAAGACACAGGUUGCAGGAUGUCCCAGGGUCAUGCAAAACAUGGUUUCUCAGUGCCACACUUGCAACUUAUAGAACUAGUUACUUAGACUGCGUUGCUGCACAUUCCAGUUCUCAAUUUAUCAUUAUAACUCAGUGUCAAUUCUGUCUUGGGUUCUCUUGAACUUCUCAUUGUAAAAUAAUGUCAGACUUAUAAAAAUCAGCAAAAUUGUAUAUCUUCUGAAUGACAUUCAGUGUUACCAAAGAUAAACAUCUUACAACAACAACAACAACAAAUUCCUUUCUCUUUUAAGAAAGUAAUUUGGAAAGAAAAAGGAGGGGGUGGGGAAAACUUGCAGUCUCCAUAGUGGUGCACACCUGUAGUCCUAGCUGUUCAAGAGACUAGGGUGGGAAGAUCACUGAUUCUCGGAGUUUGAGGCCAGCUUGAACUGUGCGGCAGACCGAAACCCAUUCUCUCCUUAAGAACAAAACUCUUACUGUCCUCUACCUCGGGGGAGCUUUCUCUACCUGCCUUUUGUCUUCAGGGAUUCCACAUUCUACUACUUGUCUCUACCCCAUUUCUAUCAGUUCCUCAGUCUUAAAUUUGUCAUGACCUAGAUUUUUUUAAUUGAGAAUAAAUUCAUAUAAUG
rnacentral:lncRNA from 1 species